UUAUUGCAUUGGGAUACUGACAAGCACUUCCAAAUUCCAGCUUACCGUCACCAAUUUGUUCUUGUUUUCUAUGAACCCAGUCUACAUUUAUGCGACAAGAACCAGCAGCAUAUACUCAUAAGCCUUUGCAGAACAGAUUUCCACUCCAGAUCAAUAUUUUACUACAAUGUGAUUUUGAUCCAGACUCGUUUCCUGUGCUUUUUUAAGAAAUAGAAAGGUACCAUUUCAGAUUUUGCAGGCCUGAAGCAACCUAAAUAACUGGACGAAACUGUGAGAUUGGGAAAAGGCAACUACGACUCCACCCAUCUCUCUUCCUCUGGGCUAUGAUCUUCCGCCUCAGGCAUUUAACCCCAGGGUACUUCCGCCUGCUACAGAUGCAGCUGGCCAGUGCACCUGAGUCAGAACCUCAAGACCGAUUGGUGAAUAAUCUGGCAUUACUGUUGGCCAUUAUGGGGUUAAGCCUGUCCUACUACAGCGUCCGGCAAAUGAGUGAAGAGGUCAAGCCACAACCAGAACCAUGACUCUUGGCUACCAGGAAGGAGUGACUUGGAGCAAAGGAGUUUCCAGCAAGGCAUAUGCGAAAGAGGCAAGGUUGGGACUCCGGCAUUCCCUUUGUGGUCCAAGCGUCGUCCAUUCGGUACCCUCAGUAUGUGCUCGUCUGGGCUGCUUGUUCUAGGAUUCAUGUUGCUAUCUCUUCUUGUCUUGUGAUGGAAGGGUCAGCUCCCCCUUCCAGCUGUACUAGCAUGACUCUCUUCUCCUGGAUCCUCAUUAAAAGGGUAGACCCAUAUAUUUCCCAA